rnacentral:tRNA from 1 species
GCGGAUGUGGCGGAACUGGCAGACGCGCAGGCUUCAGGUGCCUGUGGGGGCAACCCCGUGGAGGUUCGAUUCCUCUCAUCCGCA